rnacentral:rRNA from 1 species
AACGAACGCUGGCGGCAUGCCUAACACAUGCAAGUCGAACGAGACCUUCGGGUCUAGUGGCGCACGGGUGCGUAACGCGUGGGAACCUGCCCUUAGGUUCGGAAUAACUCCCCGAAAGGGGUGCUAAUACCGGAUAAUGUCUUCGGACCAAAGAUUUAUCGCCUUUGGAUGGGCCCGCGUUGGAUUAGCUAGUUGGUAGGGUAAAAGCCUACCAAGGCGACGAUCCAUAGCUGGUCUGAGAGGAUGAUCAGCCACACUGGGACUGAGACACGGCCCAGACUCCUACGGGAGGCAGCAGUGGGGAAUAUUGGACAAUGGGCGAAAGCCUGAUCCAGCAAUGCCGCGGGAGUGAGGAAGGCCUUAGGGUUGUAAAGCUCUUUUACCCGGGAUGAUAAUGACAGUACCGGGAGAAUAAGCUCCGGCUAACUCCGUG